UUAAUCAGGUGUGUUGAGAUCGUUAAGAUCGUUGACUACAAACCACUUGCAAUUCACCGUUGAGAUUUCGAAUUCUGUUAGGGAUAGCAGGAAAAUGUUCCAGAGAUUGGGUUUCUUUCAUGUGAGGAAGCUAUUCAACUAGCUUACGGAAAAUCUCCAAAUGACCUCUACUUUGUUGGUUCGACGUGAAACCCAACCAAUCAAUACAAAAAUGUAAAUACUAAACUGGUUGAUUAAUUAUUUUGUUAGAUGAAGCACAGAGUGAUAAAGCAAAGCAGAGUAUAAGAGCAAAAUGUAUCCAAUACCUAGACAGAGCUGAAAAGCUGAGUAAAUACCUCAACCCAGAGAAAAAACCGUCUAACAGUGAAGAUGAAGAAGAACGUGUCUUGUCAGCAAACUUAAAACAACUGCAGAUAGAUGUAUUAAAAUCAGAAAAAAGAAACAACGAGGCUGCAAUCGAGAAGAUCCAAGAAGAGACAAAGAAAUUAAAAGAGGAAGUGAAUAAAUUGAAAGUGGAAAGAGAUUUGUAUCAGGUUAAAACUGACUAUUACCAGUUAAAACUUCAGAAGUUGAAAGCAGAAAUAAGUGUGGUGAUUUUAUCUUUUGUAACAGUGGUGAUUUUAUUUUUUGUAACUGUGACACUUGGUCAUUUUUUAUAGCAACAAUGGAAUCAUACUCAAUCACACCUUUGCGGCCAUACAUUAAAGUAAUUACAUGUAAUACAUAGAACGGCUACGUACGGUGUUUUGUCUAACCCAUUAUUUUUGCAUAAUUUUGGAGUUCCGUUAUUAAAUAUUUACUUAAGGUACAUUGUUAUCCCAAUAUUAUAAUUUUCUUUAGUAAAUUCCUUUGAACACAGGUUUUAAUAUGUAAAGGUGUUUCUUUUAGAUUUGUAUGUGUAAAUAGUUGUUCAACAUUUUUUGUCUUUUAUAAAUCGUAUAGAUUGGCAAUAUACAUUCAUAAUGUAUUUUAUAUGUAUUUUAUAUGACGUUGUGUACAAAGAUGAGACACUUAAUAAACAAGUAUUAUAUACUCUCAAUAUCAGUAGUCCCCAUAAACGAAGUUUUAAAGAAUAUUCCGAACUGCGCAUACGUCUGUUUGUCAAUUCCAUUCCAUGUCUGUCCGUAAAAUUUUAUGUUUCCUCCUUGAUUAUUACUGUUAAAAAGACGCAUAUAUUUAUUUAAUUUCUAGUGCCAUCAAUUCCAACGCGACUCGCAUUUUCCCCUAUAAACCAAAAGACUUGCAUGGCGAGCUGAAGAGACUUUGUUUACACAGAAAACAUUUUUGGGCUUGAUUAAUUUUUCUUCCUUUUUUUCCCCUAACAUUUUCCGACUAAAUGAAAAAUGAACACCAAGACAGUCAAAAACAAUCAACGAUCUCUAGGAUGUUACCCUCAAACUCUAUACAAUACCAUUUUAUUUACAAAAUACAACAUUUUUGUGUUUGCAGUUUUAACUUUCAAGUAUUACAGUAAUUAUAAAUUGCAUUUAAUACUUUUUGUAACACAUUAGGACUUUCUGCUAAAAUAUAACCGUGUCAUUGGCAUAAAACAACAUAAACAAUUCAAGAAAACCUUCAAAAUCAUUUGUGCUUAAAUGCGACAUACACUAUUAGACAGAAAAUCUAAUCCUUCGAAUUUUCGAGAAGGGAACAAGUUAAAGUCUUGUAAGAACAUUGAGAAUACAACUUGGGAUCAAUUUUUUUAGAAAGUUACUGUGCUCACGACUAUAAUGUCAUUUAACACAAUUAAGGAAAGUUGUUUGAGUUUUUUUUUUAAUUGAGAUUGCAUGGAGAUUUAGGUCACUUGUUUGAGAACUUCAUUUCUUCCAUGUUUUACAUCACUUUGCAUCAGGAAUAAUGUUAUUUUCAUGGCACCAUUUAGUUAUCCUUUGAUAUAAAAUGCUAGUAAACUAUGUACCAAGAUGUCUCAAUAAAGUUAUUCCUCUGUAA